AUUGAUUUUAUGCUUGCAUAAAUGAUUUUUGGAUUCGGAGCGAGUGGCGAACUGGUGAGUAACACGUGGGUAACCUGCCCCGAAGCGGGGGAUAACAUUUGGAAACAAGUGCUAAUACCGCAUAAUUAGUUGGAACCGCAUGGUUCCAACUUGAAAGAUGGCUCUGCUAUCACUUUGGGAUGGACCCGCGCCGUAUUAGUUAGUUGGUGAGAUAAAAGCCCACCAAGACGAUGAUACGUAGCCGACCUGAGAGGGUAAUCGGCCACAUUGGGACUGAGACACGGCCCAGACUCCUACGGGAGGCAGCAGUAGGGAAUCUUCCACAAUGGACGAAAGUCUGAUGGAGCAACGCCGCGUGAGUGAUGAAGGUUUUCGGAUCGUAAAACUCUGUUGUUAAAGAAGAACAAGUGUUAGAGUAACUGUUAACACUUUGACGGUAUUUAACCAGAAAGCCACGGCUAACUACGUGCCAGCAGCCGCGGUAAUACGUAGGUGGCAAGCGUUGUCCGGAUUUAUUGGGCGUAAAGCGAGCGCAGGCGGUUUUGUAAGUCUGCUGUGAAAGCCCUCAGCUCAACUGAGGAAGUGCAGUGGAAACUACAAAACUUGAGUACAGAAGAGGAAAGUGGAACUCCAUGUGUAGCGGUGAAAUGCGUAGAUAUAUGGAAGAACACCAGUGGCGAAGGCGGCUUUCUGGUCUGUUACUGACGCUGAGGCUCGAAAGCAUGGGUAGCGAACAGGAUUAGAUACCCUGGUAGUCCAUGCCGUAAACGAUGAAUACUAGGUGUUGGAGGGUUUCCGCCCUUCAGUGCCGCAGCUAACGCAUUAAGUAUUCCGCCUGGGGAGUACGACCGCAAGGUUGAAACUCAAAGGAAUUGACGGGGGCCCGCACAAGUGGUGGAGCAUGUGGUUUAAUUCGAUGCUACGCGAAGAACCUUACCAGCUCUUGACAUCUUCUGCCAACCCAAGAGAUUGGGCGUUCCCUUCGGGGACAGAAUGACAGGUGGUGCAUGGUUGUCGUCAGCUCGUGUCGUGAGAUGUUGGGUUAAGUCCCGCAACGAGCGCAACCCUUAUUAUUAGUUGCCAGCAUUUAGUUGGGCACUCUAAUGGGACUGCCGGUGAUAAA
rnacentral:rRNA from 1 species